CGUCUUCCGUGCGAUUUUGGACCUCCACUGAGAUGAGGCCGACUCUGUGAGAAUCCUGAGGCAUCUACAGAUCUACCAGCUCCAGUUGGACUCUGUGAUCUGAAUUCCAUAGGGCGUCUAGCGUUUCUGAGAAAUAGAGGUUGCCGAGCUCAGGUCAGAGUUCAUUAAAGAUUGCAAGAGCUCGCAGCGUAAACUGUUAUCUGUUAUUUCUCUGCAGGGUUAUUUGAUAGCAAACC